GAUCUUAAUCUAACGGUGACAAUACAUCAAGUCCACGAGAAGGAUAUCACCCAUCAGCAAUCCGACGGCGAUCCUCUCGUCAGGUGCUCCCACCUGCGGCGAGCUGGAGCUGUUGUCAGCUCCGCCAUCUUCCCCACUAUCUGCUGGAACGUCGGCCGCCGUCCUGGAUCGCUGCACCGCCCCCCACCCCCAAAACGAUGAUGGAGGCCACCCGCGGAUCCAAACCCUCCGGCAGAUCCAACCGCCGGUCCAUGAACCCCACCACUCCGACUACCUAAUUACAAGAUUUUUUCGGAUCGGCAGCGGUAAGCUCACCGCCUCCGGCCAUCAACAGAGAGAGAGAGAUCGAGGAGAUCUGGCUGGCUUUUUACCUGAAGGGAGUUGAGAUGGCUCCACGGGACGGACUCCGUCAUCAGCUCCCACAGUAUGACUCCGAAGCUGAACACGUCCGACCUGCAAACAAUUCCAAUGUCCCUAUGUAUUAUUGGUGGAUUUCUUCGAUGCAAGUAAUUCAUACCUCUUGCCUGCAGCAAGGUCAUUAUUCCUUUAAUCUGCGCCAUUCAAGAAGUAUAAUUGCCCUACCUGACUAAAAUAAAGAUCUAGUAGAAAAAGCAUUACGAUAUUUGCUAAGGAAAACCCACAACAUCAAAUGCCAUCUUCAAACGGCGUUUAGGAUCCAAUGCCUGAUUGUUCUUGUGUAAUAUUCUGAAGAGGCUUCCCCUGAUAUCGAAAAUAACAUAAUUCUGUCAGUCAAAUGGAAUUUUCUCUCCUGGAAUAUUGGGCACCACAAAACAUUUUAUGAUUUUCCUUAGUCAUCCACAUCAGUUAUGUCACUUUCAUGUUACCUUGGUAAGAACUCAGUUACAAUGGCAAGUCGCUCGGGUGAAUAUGCAGCUCCCAUGAAUAGCAAUACAUUUGGAUGUCUUAAUCUUUUCAUUAUACUGAUCUGAAAUAAGUAGCCAAAGAUGGAAGUUUAAGCCAUAUCUUUAGUGUUGAGUUUGUACGUAAAAUCAAUACCUCCUCCUUGAAAUCCAGCAAAGCCCCUUCGUGAUAGUCCUUUCGUAGGUAUAGUUUUAUGGCAACAUCCUAAUGAAUAAAAGAUAAAAUGGUCAUGUCUUUCCGCGACUACAUUAUCACUAAGAUGACAGAUAAAGGAGGAGGAAACUUGUUCAAUUAAUGUACCGAUCCAUUCCAUACUCCUCGAUAGACAAUAGCAUAAGAACCUGGGAUGAUAGAAUGCAAGAGGAUUAAAGAACUGAUUAGAAUUCAAAGUAUAUCUGAGCACAUUUUAUUGUUAUAACCUGUUCUAGAGAUCUCUUGCCUUUCAUUUUCUUUUGUGCUUUCAAGCAGUAUGAUGUGUUAGCACUAAAUACAGAUAGCUAGGGUGAUAAAAUCACCUGAAAACAUUAAAAGUAGUACUCUCUGAGGAUUUUGUUGUCACUAUUUUAUUUAUCCUGCGAUUUUGGUGGCUAACCUGUGUAAUUUUAUGCUUGUGAGCAAGCUGACUUUAUCUAUUUUGGCUAGACAGAUCUCAUAACUUUCAACAUUGUGCUAAAUGCAUGAUAUUCUAAUCAUGGAUGGAGAUAUUAACAUAGUUAACUGAUACAUAGGAACAUGAAAUCUCAUAUUAGGUGAAAAUAAUGGUGAGGAUUCCAUACAUGCAUCAGUUUAAUCUUGAAACAGAAAACUUCCAAGCAAGCAUUCUUGACAAUGAGCUGCGGCCAAGACCAACAAAUAACAUGGCCAGUCUAUGUCAUGUUGUUGCAUUCAAAUAGCUUCAGAGGAAAUACCUUCACCAAUUUCCUCCCCUAACAGGAGGUCUUCCCAUCGAAUAUCACAGUCUAUGACCAACUUCAAAUAUUUUUCUUCAGUAGUUGAUGCAUCAGUCUUCUGUAGAGUUGAAUGUGCUGCUAAAUCUUGUUUGGGAUUUUCUUGUUCAUGCAAUAUAUCGUCCUUCUUCCCGCUUUGUUCGACACCUACAUUUAGAAGUGAAAUUCAAACUCUGUUUAUUUCUAGAAAAUUUGUCACAUUCAAGGAAAUAUUUUGCAAAUUCUUUACUUGCAGCAUAAUAUUCCUGCUUGCAAUUGCUAUUGACAUCCUUUCCUCUAGGAAACAGAAACUUUUGACAGAGCAUUCUACUCUUUCAUUAGUACCAUGAACGUCUGACCUGGGAAUGUUUUUUUUAGAACAUUAGGAAAGUCCAAGGUACAGCACUCUGCUAUCUUCAUAUUCUGUGACUUAGCUUCAUCAAUAGGUCUAUGAACCUGUAAGAAGGGAAAAAAUAUACAGUUAAUGUGAUGACUCCCCAAAUUAGGACUCAAACUCAGGUUGGCAAAUGAUAAUAGUUUAGUUGGCUAAAUGUUAGUAUCGAUUUGUGGGUUCAGGAUUUAUGUUCAUAUGGUCAUUCUUCAUUUUGUUGUUGUGGGUGUCAUUCUUCUUAGUUCAGCAUACUGACUUAUAAAUCUGUUGAAGAGGAAAGCAGUUCUCUAAAUCUUCUUGCCAUCAUAUACCUUUGUCUGGACUUGUUCCAGGUCUAAGGAAACCCUUGAGGUUGCUUCCUAGUUGGAGGGGUGUACAUUAUGUGACCAACAUGAUAAGUCACUUCACGUGUCAAAUCAUCUUCUAGGUCCUGUGGCAGCCGAACACUGCCUCAUGUUGGUAUUGAUAGAGAGGGCUGAUAUCUGGUCGAGAGUUGGUUACAGCAGAUUAUCUCAAUUUGAUGAAUUAUAUCUUCAUAUGCAUAGUAUUGAUCCCUUGAUGUGUUGCUACUUUUGGUUAAGGUUAAGAUGUAUAUGAAAGGGUGCUAGAAAUUUUGUUGGAAUAUACUGAAUCGAAAAUCAUGUCUUACAACUAUUUCAUACCAUAAAUUGCAACUAGAAGAGCCAAAGUACAUUUAGCAGACUAAGAUUCAUUUCUAGAAUCAUCUAUGAAGCUUCUUUUGAUUCUCUGCAUUUUACAUCUAUCCAUAGUACUGGCAUGGGAGGUUUAGACAAUCAGGAUGAGUCAAGGAACCUAAGUAUCACAAAGAAUGAAAUGUUAGGUGGAUAGAUGGUCAAAAUACCAGGUUAGGGUUAGAAAUGAAAAAAAAAAGGGUUCAUAUAGGCAUUGCACCAAUCGCGGAUAAUGUCAUAGAACAUUGACGCAUAUGUCACAAUGAAAGUUUGAAGCCUAACGUUCAGAAGUAUUAGGAAAGAAUGCAGGAAGACCCAAGAGGACCUGUUUUAAGGUGGUAAGAAGGGAUUUCAAGGGCUUGUACUGCAAGUGAAUUUAUUCUUUAACUCUUUAAUCUGGAAAGGGAUAGUGAAGAAUUAUCCCUGCCUAUCCCUGAGAUAAGCACUAAACAACACACUUCCCCCUAGGUCUUUAUCUCCAACAUUUCAUUCAACUUUAGCUAUUUUGGGAUGGUUUCUACCAAGGGAGGCUGGAACUUGGGGAUAAGCGAGAAUAUGUGAGAGAGAAUUUAAGAAGCAACUGAAUUUCCCUCAAUCUUUCCUUCCUUGAAUAUAAUAUCAAUACUUUAUUGUUAUACUAUUUUAGAAAUACUUGGUAAAUGAGGAUUUACAAAGCCAACCUUAAAUAGUCGAGAGAACUUUGGAUAAUUAUGAUGAUAAUAUUAAUUUAUUAUUUUCAUUAUGCAAUAUGUUAGUAUGAAUAUAAUAUUAGUAUGUUAAUACUAAUAUAAUAUAAUUUGAGCAAAACUAAGGUGUUCUCAAGAGGAUAGCUAAGAUGGUACUCUCAUCUUCAAAAUCAAUGACAGACCAUACCAAAUUAAAAAUUCAAACGAUUGAAUAUGGCCUAUGGUACGAAAAUGCCUAGAAAACAAAAUUCAUAUAUCCCAGUAGUCUCUAAUAUAUGCAUCACGAAAAUCAAUGAUAUCAAAUGCAUGAGUGUAGUAAAAUAAACGAUAAGGCACAUAAUUGAAAAUCCACAUCAUGAUUAUAAUUUACACAUCUUAAAACAUGGGUAUUUUAAAUUCGCUAGGUUUUGGUGAUUAGAUCACCAUAAAAUAUAAUAUCGUCGGACUAAAACUGUUCAUUCUGAUAUCUACUUGAUUAUUAGAUAAGAGAACACCGAAGAACAAAUUUUGUUUUAUAUGCAUUUUUUUAUUAUGUAGAUCAUGUCCAGUGAUUUGGAUCUUGAAUGUAGAUAGUAUACAUUAACUUUGAAUGUGAAAGGAUCAUCUCAACUAUCCUCUUGAGAGCGCCUUAGCUCUAUUAAUAUAGUAUUAUAUUGGUGUAUAAUCUAAAAUUAUGUUAAUAUUAAUUGAUUGAAUAUUAAUAUUGUAUUAAUAAAUCAUUAGUAAUAUAACAUGAAUUAACACUAUAGUACCAUCAUAUUAAUAUAUUUUAUUAAUACUAGUAGAUUGAUAUUAACUUAAUUAACUUUUUAUAUAUUUUAUAUCAAUAUUACAUUAAAAAUAUUGUAAGCUAAUAUUGGAAGGGCAUACUUGUCCAAUUUGGAGAAAUCAUCUUUUUCUGUACUUAUACAAAAUCCAAAGUUCAAUUCUUAUCCUGUAAGAGCUCCAAACAACUUAACAACAAAAGUUUAAUCAUUAUUUAGGAUAAUAACAUUUCUCCCAAACAAAAAUAAGAUCCAAUCCCCAUUAAACCUACCUGAAAUUAGAGCUACCUGGUAUAAAGCCUAUUUAUCUCUGAAACCCUAUUCUCUUUCCACACCAGGCCUUAAGGAUUUAAUGGAGGAGCCAUUAGGUCAAUUCAAAUGUGAAGCCUCUGAUUUUGGUUAUGGUUAUUGGGACAUAUUGUGCCACAAUGAGAAGCAAAUCUUCAUAAUGAAACAAAUGAAAUAUCUAAAAGAUUGAUAAAAAGUUUUUCUGGAUUUUAAAUGAGAUUACGCCAAAGAUCAUGUGUGAAAGUCAUUAAUGGUUUUGAUAAGAAUGCAUCAUCUAGAUCAUGCUUUUGUAGAUUUUGACAAAUGAAUAGAAUCAUUAUUUUGAUGCUGCUAUUAGUAAAACACAUGAUACAAGAACCAGACCAAACUGACACAGAAGGCAGCCUUAUUUAAAUUGAUUAUUCUGGAAAGAGGAAUGAUGUAAGAAAACCUAGAUUCAUAAUGCCAUGAGAAUAAGUGGUGAGAAAAGAACUAACAUGACGUGGAUCGGAUCUUAGAGAAGCUGAUCAUAUAUUUGAACAACAUUUAUAAAGCAAACACCAAAUUGAUGAGAUCGAUGUUGAUGUUCAUGUUUGUUGUUGUUUUGUAUAUCAAGCUGAUGUCUAAACGGAAUCUAGCAUUUGAUGUUGGAGUUAUUGUCUGCGAAUGAUGCUGGCCUAACAUCUCACCAACUUUUCCCUUGGAGAGUAGGGUAUUCCUAGAUUGCUCAAUUCAGUAUUUUUUUUUAAUUAUUUUUUUUAAGUCUUGAUUGUUCCGCUCACUAUCCAAAUAAUUUGAUAAAUGAUUAUCAAGGCAUUUUCCUAAAUCCUCCAUUGAAAUAAAUAUUCUAUUCACCAGAUUAGCAAUGGUAAGCUUGUCUUAAAACUUAAAUCACUUAUAGAAACAUGAUCCAUCGAUAAAUUCCUUUCUAGCUUAUGCAUAAUUUUUAAUAUGAAAUCAUAUCAAUACGUUCAGUUGUAUUUUUUCUCUCCCAUGCACGAGGACUUUUAAUGAUGAAAUGUAAAUCAAAAUUAGCUGUCUUCAUUAUUUAUUUUGAUUUAUCCUCCACUCAAACAUGCAUUUCAAAAUACAUAUGAAAAUGCAAAGCUAAUACUUCUUUUUUGUUAGUUUCUGAGAAUGCAAGUCCAUUUAGCAGUCACAAAUUGAGACAUUGAUACUGGUGACUGUGUACAUGAUGGACCUUUUUUUUUUUUUUUUUGACUCAGUGAAAUCUCCUUGGAAGCAUAUAGCAUUUGCAAGUUAUAUUUUAAACAUUUUCUUUUUAAGAAAACGAUAUUAUUGCAUAUAAUGCCACAAUCAAGGUUGCCUGGAAACAACUUAAGUACAUUUAUCUAUUCACAAAAAUACAUGCUGGUAUUAGGUUUUCAUUCAUCUAACUUAAAAUUGUGUUUCAAAGACCAUGGAAUUAUGUGAGCCUCCAAUGGUCUGUUUAUUCUGCUUAGAACAAUCAACCGUAGAAAUGAUUACAGUUGUUUGUUUUUAUACGGUUAUGAUGGAUAUAGUGUUACAGUUUCUUUUAUGUAGCUGUGUAUCACGUGAUAAAUGUUAAUUAACAUGUCCAUGCAUGGUCAAAACAUUGACCAAUCCAAUUAACUUUGUUGAUUUAAGAUUUUUCAUAUUGUGCCGGGGGAAAAAUUUGAAGCUCCCCAAGAACCAGAUUGAGUCUUCACAGGAAAGCAUGUCAAUGGUUAUCUUGGCAUUGCAAUCACCAUAAAGUGUUUCAAUCAUUACUGGCUUGAGUUCUAGGCCUUUGAAAUAUUUAGUUCCAUAAUAAGACCCAAGCAGGUAUUUUCCUUAUUUCAGCACUUGAAUAGUUUUAUGUCUGCCAUCCUUCACUAUAUAACAAACUCAGAGUGCUACAAAUAUUUAUAUUUGGACAAUCUUUGCCACAGAUGCUUAACUACGGGUUUCAAACACAUUUUUGUACAAACUUUAGCAAGACCAUUUAUUGUUUGGCAAAAUUAGCUGCUGGGAUGAUUUUGCUGGCUGCAACCAAAGAAUCAUCAAUGUCAAAACUAAGUAAUCAUCAAGAUCCACUGACUAUGGUGGAAAACAUA